CUUGUUUGCUCAACGGUAGUGCGUCUGACUCCAGAUCAGAGGAUCGCGUGUUCAAAUCACGUCAGG
rfam:Mesocestoides corti genome assembly, scaffold: MCOS_scaffold0000278